AUGAGCUUGCUAUGCUCACUUGUUGCCGUCCUGUUGAUCGUCCUUGUGAACGCCGGCGAUGAGGCCGCAUUGCUUGCUUUCAAAGCGCACCUCAGCCAUGGCGGCUCGCUGCCCUCCUGGAACAGCAGCACCGGCUUCUGCAGCUGGAAAGGCGUGACAUGCAACCACCGGAGGCCUGCGCGGGUGGUGGAACUAAGAUUGAGCGGCGCCGGGCUCACCGGAGCGCUCUCCCCGGCAAUCGGGAACCUCACGUUCCUGCGGAUGCUCGACCUGGGUGUCAACUCGCUAUACGGGGACAUUCCAGCAAGCCUCGGCCGCCUCCGUCGCCUGCGCUGGCUCUACUUGAGCAAAAACUCCUUCUCCGGCACAUUGCCAGCAAACCUGAGCUCCUGCAUCAGCAUGACUGAAAUGAGACUGGACAACAAGACGCUUGGCGGGCACAUCCCGGCUGAGCUUGGCGAGAAGCUCACGUACCUCACAGUGCUCACGCUGAGAAACAACGGCUUCACAGGCUCCAUCCCGGCAUCACUGGACAAUCUUUCCCAUCUACAGGUCCUCGAACUCACUUAUAACCAUUUCACUGGUUCAAUCCCGCAUGGGCUCGGAACCAUCCAGAGCAUGCGAUAUUUCACUCUCUUCGGAAACAAUCUUGUGAGCUCAAUCCCACCAGGGCUCGGAAGUUCCCAGAGCAUGCGAUAUUUCAAUCUCGCCGAAAACAACCUCCACGGUAUGCUCCCACCUUCUCUUUACAACUGGUCAUCAUUGGAAGUAUUUGAUGUCGGGUCGAAUAUGUUGUCCGGAAGCAUUCCGGAUGAUAUCGGAAGCAAGCUCCCCAAGUUGGAAAGGCUUGGCUUGGGUUUCAAUCACUUCACAGGAACCAUCCCUUCCUCAAUAUCCAACAUAUCUUCCCUCAUAUCACUUGACCUCACACAGAACAAAUUUAGUGGGUAUAUGCCUCCCACAUUGGGGAGGCUCGGAGCUCUCCAAUAUUUGGAGUUGGGUGACAAUGAAAUCGAAGCGAAUGACAACAAGGGGUGGGAAUUUAUAACAUCCUUGGCAAAUUGCAGCCAACUGCAGCAAUUGGCACUAUAUAAAAAUUCCUUUGGAGGACAACUACCGGGUUCAAUUGUGAACCUCUCAACGACUCUCCAGCGGUUAAACUUACAUGACAAUAGGGUCUCUGGGAGUAUACCUGCGGACAUCGGCAACUUGGUUGGUUUGGAAUUACUUGUGAUAGCAAAUACUCCGAUAUCCGGAGUGAUUCCUGAGAGCAUCGGUAAGCUAGUAAAAUUGAUCGAGCUAGCCUUGCAUAAUAAUAGCUUGUCUGGCCUCAUACCAUCAUCGCUAGGGAACCUUUCGCAGUUGAGUAUCCUUUCUGCAUUCCAUGGCAACUUGGAGGGGCCAAUUCCGGCAAGCCUCGGGGAGUUGAAAAAACUUGUUGUACUCGAUCUGUCAAUGAACUACAAACUUAAUGGUUCAAUACCUAGAGAGAUUUUUAAAUUGCCUAGCCUUUCUAGGUACUUGGACUUGUCAUAUAAUUCCCUUUCGGGACCCCUUCCUAAUGAAGUUGGUAGUUUGUCAAAUCUUAACCGACUUGCUCUAUCAGGAAACCGGUUGUCUGGCAAGAUACCUGACAGCAUUCAAAAUUGCAUAGUAUUGGAAUCUCUAAGAUUAUACAACAAUUCAUUUGAGGGAAGCAUACCUCAGUCAGUGACAAAUAUAAAGGGGCUCCGUAUACUGGUCCUAACCAUGAAUAAGUUCUCUGGUAAUAUUCCUGAGGCCCUUGGUAGCACUAAAAACCUAGAGGGAUUGUACCUAGCACACAAUGACUUGUCUGGGUCAAUCCCAUUAGUUCUACAGAAUUUGACAUCAUUGUCUGAACUGGAUAUAUCCUUCAAUAAUUUGCAAGGUGAGGUGCCAAAUGAAGGUGUUUUCAGAAACAUCACUUACUUAGCAGUUAAUGGGAAUGCCAAUUUGUGUGGUGGUAUACCUCAACUUCAUUUGGCUCCAUGCUACAUAAGAAAGAACAAAAAAAAGAUACCAAAGUCUCUUGUAAUCUCUCUAGUGACAGCUGGAGCAAUCUUGUUUUCACUUUUAGUUAUUCUUCUUGUUUGGAUACUUUGCAAGAAGCUCAAACCAAGCCAGAAGAUAUUAGCACAAAAUUCAAUUGAUGAUGACCAUUACAAGAGAAUCCCCUAUCAUGCAUUAUUGAGAGGAACUAACAAUUUUUCAGAAGCCAACUUGCUUGGAAGAGGAAGUUAUGGUGUGGUUUAUAAGUGUAUUUUGGAUAAUGAAGAAAGAACAUUGGCCGUCAAGGUGUUUAAUCUCAAUCACUCUAGGUAUUCCAAGAGUUUUCAGGUCGAGUGUGAGGCCAUGAGAAGGAUACGACACCGUUGUCUAAUUAAGAUCAUUACGUCUUGUUCAAGAAUCAACCAACAAGGUCAAGAUUUCAAGGCAUUAAUUUUUGAGUUCAUGCCCAAUGGUAGCUUGGAUGGUUGGCUUCAUCCAAAAUCACAAGAGCCCACUAUAAACAACACGCUCAGCCUUGCCCAGAGACUUGAUAUUGCUGUCGAUAUUAUGGAUGCGGUAGAAUAUCUGCACAACUACUGUCAAUCAUUGGUAAUCCAUUGUGACCUUAAGCCAAGCAACAUUCUUCUUGAUGAAGACAUGAGCGCACGAGUUGGAGACUUUGGCAUAUCAAGGAUCCUUCAAGAAAAUACGAGUGAGGGGAUGCAAACUUCAUAUAGCUCAACUGGAAUCAGAGGUUCCAUAGGCUAUGUUGCUCCAGAGUACGGAGAAGGAUCUGCCGUCUCAACACCCGGUGAUAUCUAUAGUCUUGGCAUAUUGCUGCUUGAGAUGUUUACCGGAAGGAGCCCAACGGAAGGCAUGUUCAGAGAUUCAUUGGACCUGCAUAAGUUUGCUGAGGAUGCUCUUCCAGAUAGAACCUUGGAGAUAGCUGACCCAACAAUCUGGCUACACAACGGACAACAGGAUAACACUACAAGUAUUAGAAUCCAGGAGUGCUUGCUUUCAGUCUUGAGGCUUGGCAUAUCCUGCUCAAAGGCACGAGCUCAAGACCGAGCACCGACAAGAGAUGCAGCGUCAGAGAUGCAUGCAAUCAGAGAUGCAUACCUUCUAUUUGCUGGUAAGCGUAUAGGGGAGCAUGGAGGGCCUCGGCUUGAGACAUUUGAGCUAGAAUGA
rnacentral:rRNA from 1 species